rnacentral:rRNA from 1 species
GACGAACGCUGGCGGCGUGCUUAACACAUGCAAGUCGAACGAGGUUCAGCGGAGCUUGCUCUGCGAAGACCUAGUGGCGAACGGGUGCGUAACACGUGAGAAACCUGUCCCGAACUUGGGAAUAACAGUUGGAAACAGCUGCUAAUACCGAAUACCUCCACUGCGUCGCAUGGCGCGGUGAAGAAAGCUUUUGCGGUUUGGGAGGGUCUCGCGGCCUAUCAGCUAGUUGGUGAGGUAACGGCUCACCAAGGCAUCGACGGGUAGCUGGUCUGAGAGGAUGAUCAGCCACACUGGGACUGAGACACGGCCCAGACUCCUACGGGAGGCAGCAGUGGGGAAUAUUGCACAAUGGGCGAAAGCCUGAUGCAGCAACGCCGCGUGAGGGAUGACGGCCUUCGGGUUGUAAACCUCUUUUAGUAGGGAAGAAGCGAAAGUGACGGUACCUGCAGAAAAAGCACCGGCUAACUACGUGCCAGCAGCCGCCGUAAAAC